GCUUCUGUAGUAUAACGGUCAGUACAACAGUUUGUGGAUCCAUCCGGUUCACUGUAGAUCCAGGUUCGAUUCCUGGCAGGGGCA